rnacentral:lncRNA from 1 species
CUGAAGUUGGCAAAUUGCAGUUUGAUCCCUAGACUUUGGGAAAUUGCAAUUAGGUCCCUAGAAAAAUUGAAAAUUUAAUUAGUCCUGAAAGUUUGAUUUAAUCAAUUGGGUCCAGAGUGUCUGAUUUUUGCCAGAAAGCCCAAGGCUGAGUUUUCUCGGCAUUACGAUUCAUCCGAGAGGUCGGUUUUUUUAGAGAUUUUGCUUCAUUGGAAGAAGUAAAGAAGCAAAGAAAAGAAGAGAAAGUAGAAGAGAAGUAAGAAGAAGUAAGAAGGCGGAAGGAUGAGAGCCCUGAUCAAGCUUUCAGAUGCGGAUACGCCCCAGGAAAACCAAGGAUGAGGAAUGAGAUGAACAGGAAGAAGAUGAUUGGGAAUAUCAGACAAUGCAUUGAAAACGAAGGUUUUUGUUCCACAUGUAGCACGAUGAGACGAGUGAGUGUUUUGCAGAUCUGACAAGCAGUGAACACGGAGUGUUCCAACAUGUAGAGAUGAGACGAGUGCUCAUGGGUGGGACCAAAUGGGAGGGGAGAGGGAAGAUGUUACAGGGGAGAAGACAUCUCAGAACACAAAGUCUUAUGAGAAGGCUUGGGUUAGAAGAAGCUAGCUUCAGAGAGGGACGAUGGUGGCGGAACAAAAUACGGCGAUAGUUCCAGAGAGCCACAGGAAGAGGUCAAGAGAAGAGGCCGAGAAGAGGUUAUCAGGAGAGAGGAGAGGUCAGAAAGGAGGCCUAUAGAGAAGAGUCACAGGCAGCUGAUGGCGGAUUGCGCAGAAUCCAGAUGUCGCCACGUUAAGUGCUUUUAUUGCGACCAGGAGGGACAAGAAGAAUUGUCAAAAGAACAAAGCACAAAGAUCAGUCUUCAGAGGCAACAACAACAGCAAUGAUGUCUUGUGAGAGGAGGAGUGACUAGCAGGAUCGGCAGAUGAAGAGUCAGACUGGAUUUUGAUUCAGGGCAUUUGCUUAACCACUUGUGCAGAGACAGAGAGAGUGCUCUACACAUGUAGCAUGCGAGGACAUUGUUCGGAUGGCUAACUACGCGAUUGUGGCAAAGGACAGUCCGGUUUCCGCAGAGGGAGAUCCAUGAAGGUGACCGGAGUAAGGAGUAAGGGAGUAAGGCAUGUUUAGUGAGAUGAGGAGUCGAAGCGAUGAAGCUUUGAAGCUAGGGAGGAAACACUCAGAGUUUCAAGGAAACACAGGGAGAAGCUGCCAGGAGAAGGAAGACUGGAAGGCUAUACCGACUGAGGGAGAAUGUUCCAGACAGGAGAUGUGCUAUCCGACAUAGGUCCAGGGUAUUAGCAAAGAUGGAUGGACGAAAGAAGCAACCGUUGCACAGAGGCACGCAAAGCAAGCGCAGGGGACUGAUGGUGACUUGACAGGAUCCACAGUGGACAGGGGAGCGCAAGGAGAGGCUUUGAGCUACGUGAGGAAUAUGGCUAGACAUGAGAAGUUUGCAACCAUGACAGGAUGUCCAUUGAGAAGCUCAGAGGAGAGAGACACGAGUUAGAUGUACAGCGACAAGGCGUGACGUCGCCGGAAACGAAUCUCUUUCGCUCUAGAAAAAGUGGCGGUGAUCUCUCCAGUUGUGCACAUAAGGGAGGAGAGAUAGAGUUUUUCACGACGAUUUGCAAAGCGCGUACUUUGCCAGCUCAACCCGGUGGGGGGGGAAGCAGGGAGCAGCAGCGCACCUAGGUGAGAAGGUGCAGGCCACUUCAGGUUGGAAGUGCAUUUUCACUCAGUGGGAAGUGGAGGAGUUUGCCAGUUGAAGAGGGUAACGUAUCUCGGAUACUGCUUAGAGAUCUUAGGGGGAGCUAGACCAGAAGUUGUCGGAUGGAUAACUUGGAAGAAAACAGAUUACCUCCAAUGGGCUGGAGGGGGAGAUUGUGGAUCCAGCCAUUGAAACCCAAUAAAGGGGAAGCCCAAGAAGAAGUCCAACACUAUUGAGCCCAAGGUCCCAGCCCAUGCAAAUGCCAAAGUUUCAUCCAUCCUCUUCUAGAUGAAGGCCUCCAUUGGUUAAGCUUGGUCAGAGAGAAAGUCUCCAUUUGAGGCUGAGGAAGAAAAGAGAGGCAGAGGAGGGAAGAAAGGAAGAAAAGAAUGGCAGAGAGAGAAGAAAGCUGCCUGGAAGAUUGUCAAAGAUGGAGGCACAUCUCCCUAUAUAAGGAUGGAGCAGAGAAGAGUGCCGAUAGAGUGGAAGAGGCAGAUGUAAUCCUGGAGAUUACCGGAGCACCACAGCUUGUUGCUGUGUGCAGAGAGGGGCGUGAGAGAAGUUGGGUUUGGGGCGGGGGGGAGUCUAGUGUGCGGUGAGAGCACCGAGAAGCACCGAGAGAUAUGGCAGAGGAUUGGGCUAGAAGUGUUGAUGUGAGAUCUGAGAGCGAAAGUAGAUAGUGAGCAGUGCAGAGAGUGGAGAGGUGAGUGGAGAUGAGCUCCUCCCUAUUGUACUCAUUGUAAUUCAUUUCUGGUGGAUAGGAAUUAUUUGUUCCUCUCCGUGGAUGUAGGCAUUGUUUGCCGA